GUAAGGUACCGGACUUCUAAAAUCAUGAGGUUACGGUGUCCAUUUGGUUGGAGAGCCAUUUGAAUGGUUCCGGUAAGGUUGCGGUGUAAUGUAAUAUACCGAAUUUAAAUAUAAAAAAUAGAAAUAAAUAAAAAUAGUAUGAGAUACUAUUUUUAUUGAAUUUAGAGAGGUGAAAUAUAAGUUGGGAAUGANUUAGUAGAUGAAUCGUAGAUCCUUUCGAUGAUUAAGCAAAGAUCUCGAAUUUUGGGUUCGUUAUCUCUUUACGGUAAUUUCGAGAAUUUCGAAUGGAAGUUUCGUACGAGGUUACCUCUCCUUUUUCUACUUCAACUACUUCUAGUUGAAGGUUCGAAUGAAGAGGUGGUUUAGGUAGGUAAAACCCUCUCUAAAUCUCUCUCUUUUACCUUCCGAAGAGAAAGAGGGAGAAAGGUACGCACACACACACACACCGCACAAGCACACACCACACGCCGGCUUCCUCUUCUUCUUCGUGGUCGAAGAAGUAUUAUGGGGAGUUUGUGAUAAGUAGGUCCGUUGAAUUUUAGACUAUUGAAAGCGGCCUCGAGGGACUUAUAGGCAAACUCGAGUUUGAACUGUCAGUACAAGCCAAAAUGAAUUGAAUUGUUCGACUGCUAGUGACCAAGUCAAAGCUGGGACAAACCAGUGACUUUUGACAUAGCUUGACGUUAGAAAUAGUCUAUCGAAAGCCUAAAAUAAAGAGUGAGAUGCCCACAGUCUUUUUAUACUUUGGAAUUUAGCUCGGAGUAUUUUUAUAAAGACUGUAGAGACGGUUAAAAGUAUUAAAAGACUCUGACACGUAAAAGACGAUUAAAUAGACGGGGCAAAGGUUGUCUUUUAAGAUUUAGAAGACAAAAUUAAGGCUAAAGUCGUGUCCAGUAAGGGUUGAAUAUAAAGUGAAAAGAUUUAAGUUAUUUUUAUCAUAGAGUAUGAUAAAAAUAAAUAAAGAUAAAAAUAUAAACUUAGGCCAUAUAAUGUAAUGUGGCGUUGGAAUGGCCUUGGUAAGUUUAUAUGCUUAGAUCCUAAGUUCUAAUGGUGGGUUUUUACCUAUUGCAACAUAGAGCUCCAAAAUGAGGGCUUUAAUGGUAGAUCUCUAAAGAUAGGUCUAAAUGCUUUGGAAAUGGUUUUAGUGGAACCCAUUGAUGCCUAAUAGAUGGUUAAUGUUUGAAUCAUAGAGCAAUUUAAUGAUUUCUUGCAUAGUUGUAAACCUAGGGCUCAAAAUGCUAACUUUCAAAAUAUGAGGGUUUGAUCUCAUUUGACCCUUCGUAAACCUAAUUGCUAGGUAAUGAAACGCGUUGGCGAAGACGGUUCAGCGAUUCGUCGAGCCGGUGCAAAGUUAUUAAAGAAACGGACGUUCAGGCUUCGUUUCCGCCUGGAGGGCCGAGGCGACGUCGUAAAAUCCUGAAAACGGAUUUGAAGCAUCGUACCAAGAAACCGAAGACCUUUAAUUUUCGGAUUGCGGAUCGGAGGUCGUUUGGUGGUCGCGCGCGGAUUGGGUCAAGCCGAGCGGCGUGCGCCGCGGGAGGCCGAUUGCAAGUGACGACAAGCAAUCGGAACGCGAUAAAAGGUGGGGGAGUGCCAUCCCGAAGCAAUCGGGCUUCUUCCUAUGUCUUAGUGCUUAUCCAUUAACAUGUAGCAUAUUGUAUAUCGAUACCUUGCAUUAUAGGAUGACAAUACAUGCAUUCCUAAUCCUUAUAUGAUGUUUAUGAUCAAUAUAGUAUUAUGAUAUGGAUAUAUGAUGUAAUGGACAUAAGGAUUAUGAGAUGACAUUGGUAAACCUAUGAUGCUAAAUGAGAGAAGAACCUAGUGUUGUGUUUAAAGACAUAGUUUACAAGUGGCAUUGAACUUAUUGUGCUAAAAACACAUAUGACUUGAGCUAGUAAUGGAUUGGUUGUUGUACUAGAAACUCUAGUUAACAUUGAUCAAGUUGCAUAUUGGGAUAUUGCAUUAUAGGGUACUAGUUGGCAAUUGUUACAUGUCAUGGCAUGCUAGUGGGAGUGUAGUGUUACUUGAUUAAUACUUGUACCUAGUAUGCAUGAGAUUGGGACUUAGUGCGGUGAAACCCUAUAAGGGCAUGAUUAAUGUGGAUUAAACUUUGUUGAGUGCAUUAAUCGAUUAAGUUGCAUAUUGUAUUUAUUGCAUUUAGAUGCUAAAUGAUUGUGGUCAUUGCUCAUAUUUGCAUGCUAGUAGCUAUACAUCUUGAUGAUUGAUCCAUGAUCUAGUAUGCAUGAUGAUUAUAUGAUGAAAACUUUAUGAUAAAGACCUAGACCCUAUGUGAGGUGAUUAAUGCUUAUGUUGCUAAAGAACUAGUAUGAUGUAACUAGUGUUGAAAUGAGUCUAAAUGUCGAGUGGCAUCUAGUUUAGAAAACUAUGAUGAGUGGCAUAUGAUUGUUGAUAACCUUGACAUGAGAACCUUAGUGUAGUUGAAACACUAUGAGAUUGGGUACAAGAACACCUUGAUUCCAUGAUGAGAUUACCCUUAGAGGGUAGGUUGCUGUUGCUCGUGAGAUGAUCACGCUCACAUUGCCUGUCUGCGCUUGGUGGGGUCGCUCCCCUCAAGUUGUGCGCUCCGGAGUUUGGUCACUAGAGAGGCAGCCCUGCUUGCUGCUCGGAUAGCCGCUUGUUAUCCGCAGGCGUACUCGGGGAUAGUCCAGCUAGGCAUCCCUCGGAGAUUGAUAUGUGAGCCUUGCUUGUGAACCUUGUGUUCACCACGAGAUUUGGUUACCUAUUGAGUCAUACUCAUUAUUGUUGUUCAUGAUAGCUUGCUUCCAUAGUUGUUGUUGUUGUUCAUAGUAGCUUACUAGUGUUCAUAGUAGCUUACUUAUUGCUCAUGCCUUCAUGAUAUACUAUUCCUUCACCUAUGAGAUUUGAGUACCUAUUGAGUCAUAUUCAUUAUUGUUGUUCAUGAUAACUUGCUUCCAUAGUUGUUGUUGUUGUUCACCUAUGAGAUUUGAGUGGAGUAGCCCUGUACCUAGUAGGUCGAGAUGUGAGUCGGGCAAAGUGCGGGGUAGCCUUUNGAAGGUGCUAGAGUUGAAGUUCUUCCCUCCAACAAGCUCCACACAAAGCUCCAAUGCUUCUCCAAUAGUGGAAACCCAACAUGAAGCAAAGAGGAGAGGAAAAGAGAGAUCAAAACAAACUAAAACCAUGAGAAAUGGGAGAAAACCAAGGGAGAAGGCCCUCACCUGAGUUCUCCAUGGAUUAGGGCUCAAAAGGGCCAUCCAAGGGGCUGUGGGGGGUUAAAUAGAGAUGUAACAAUCUCAAAAAGGCUCUCCAACAACGUGCAGUCUGCACUGCACUGCGUACCGGUGACACGGGAAAGAGUACCGGUACCAGGCAACAGCACGCGCAAACCCAAGCCUCGGGUUGGCGAGAAAAUACACUGGGUACCGGUACCAUCGCGAUGCAGUACCGGUACGGGAUCAAUGCAGUACCGAUACUCUGCCCUGCAUAGGCAAACCCGAGAGCAAUCCAAACUCUGCAAUUUGGAGACUUUAGUGCUAAGUUUUAAUCCUCACUUCUCAGGAUGCGAGUCAUAGGUCGGAACACUGUCAACGACUCUCCAGAAUAUCUGAAAAACUCAAAACACAGAUCAAAACUCGAACAUCGCAAUUUGCAAAAGUCCAGUGUGUUACAUUCACCCUAGGAGUUUCGUCCGCAAAACUAAAAAGCAAGUUACCUCAAGACUCUAUCUGAAAAAAAUGGGGAUAGCGCUCCUGCAGUGCGCUUUCCAACUCCCACGUGGCCUCGUGUUAAUCGUGGUUGCUCCAAAGAACCUUCACAUAAGAUAUAUCACGAUUCCGAAGCUUUUUCAUCUCGCGAGCCAAAAUCCUCACCGGUUGCUCUUCAAAGCUUAGUCAUCCUUCAGCUCUAAUGGUAUAGCUGUAAGGUACCGGACUUCUAAAAUCAUGAGGUUACGGUGUCCAUUUGGUUGGAGAGCCAUUUGAAUGGUUCCGGUAAGGUUGCGGUGUAAUGUAAUAUACCGAAUUUAAAUAUAAAAAAUAGAAAUAAAUAAAAAUAGUAUGAGAUACUAUUUUUAUUGAAUUUAGAGAGGUGAAAUAUAAGUUGGGAAUGACCUGUGCUGAAAUCGGAAUUAAAAUAGAAGAUUUAGAAUUUUCUGUUGGAAACGGGACAGAUAAAUUAGCAGAAAAUGCACAGUCUCAGAAAAUUAUGAAAAUUUGCAGAGAUGUCAGAAAUAUUUUUAUGAGGCUAAAUUUAAGGUUUCAUAUUUUUCUGACACCCGUAGAGUGAGAAAUAAAAUCCGAAAGCUA
rnacentral:lncRNA from 1 species